rnacentral:rRNA from 1 species
GAACCGUCCAAACGUUAUUCGGAAUUACUGGGCUUAAAGGGUACGUAGGCGGCGCUGUCAGUCGGGUGUGAAAUCCCUCGGCUCAACCGAGGAACUGCGCCCGAUACUGCAGUGCUUGAGGGAGACAGAGGUAAGCGGAACUGAUGGUGGAGCGGUGAAAUGCGUUGAUAUCAUCAGGAACACCAGUGGCGAAAGCGGCUUACUGGGUCUCUUCUGACGCUGAGGUACGAAAGCCAGGGGAGCGAAGGGGAUUAGAUACCCCCGUAGUCCUGGCCGUAAACGUUGAGCACUUGAUCGUGGGGCCCCCCAUAGCCUCUCGGUCGAAGCGAAAGUGUUAAGUGCUCCGCCUGGGGAGUAUGGUCGCAAGGCUGAA